rnacentral:rRNA from 1 species
UACGAAGGGUGCAAACGUUGCUCGGAAUUAUUGGGCGUAAAGCGCACGUAGGCGGCCUUGUAAGUCGGAUGUGAAAUCCCUCGGCUUAACCGAGGACGUGCAUCCGAAACUGUGAGGCUCGAGUAUGGAAGAGGGUCGCAGAAUUCCCGGUGUAGAGGUGAAAUUCGUAGAUAUUCGGAAGAACACCAGUGGCGAAGGCGACUUACUGGACGACUGUUGACGCUGAGGUGCGAAAGCGUGGGGAGCAAACAGG